AUCUAGCUGCUGCUGGCUCCAGCGGCCGCCGCUGCCCGGCCAAGUGGAGAGGACGGAAGGGGCUGGUGGAGAGCAGAGCGGGGACUCGGCGCCUGCGACGGGGGCACCGGGGGCGCGAGCUGCUCCCGCUUUGCUCAAGUUUUUAAUUCCCACGGCUUUGGUGAAGCCCCCCAGGUGCUCAAGCGCGGAGUUUUGCUCCUGGUCUCAGUGUAUGCCCAGUUCACUCAGGUUUAUUCAUUGUAAUAGGGAAAGGAUUUAAAGAAAGUUAAGGAAGAGCUGAUCUGUAAGGAGCGCAAGGGUUGGCCAGC
rnacentral:lncRNA from 1 species